rnacentral:rRNA from 1 species
AAAGCGUGCGCAGGCGGCCCGCGAGGUGUCACGUGAAAGCCCCGGGCUCAACCCGGGAGGGUCGUGGCAAACCGGCGGGCUUGAGGCCGGUAGAGGUGGGUGGAACUCCUGGUGGAGUGGUGAAAUGCGUAGAGAUCAGGAAGAACACCCGUGGCGAAGGCGGCCCACUGGGCCGGUACUGACGCUGAGGCACGAAGGCGUGGGGAGCGAACGGGAUUAGAUACCCCGGU